CAGUCGCCACGGUAAUACGUAGGUGGCAAGCGUUGUCCGGAAUUAUUGGGCGUAAAGCGCGCGCAGGCGGAUAGGUCAGUCUGUCUUAAAAGUUCGGGGCUUAACCCCGUGAUGGGAUGGAAACUGCCAAUCUAGAGUAUCGGAGAGGAAAGUGGAAUUCCUAGUGUAGCGGUGAAAUGCGUAGAUAUUAGGAAGAACACCAGUGGCGAAGGCGACUUUCUGGACGAAAACUGACGCUGAGGCGCGAAAGCCAGGGGAGCGAACGGGAUUAGAUACCGCGUAGUCCCUGUCUCUUAUACAC
rnacentral:rRNA from 1 species